rnacentral:rRNA from 1 species
GAUGAACGCUGGCGGCGUGCUUAACACAUGCAAGUCGAACGGAAAGGCUCCUGCUUGCAGGGGUACUCGAGUGGCGAACGGGUGAGUAACACGUGGGUGAUCUGCCCUGCACUUCGGGAUAAGCCUGGGAAACUGGGUCUAAUACCGGAUAGGACGAUGGUUUGGAUGCCAUUGUGGAAAGUUUUUCGGUGUGGGAUGAGCUCGCGGCCUAUCACCUUGUUGGUGGGGUAAUGGCCUACCAAGGCGUCGACGGGUAGCCGGCCUGAGAGGGUGUACGGCCACAUGGGGACUGAGAUACGGCCCAGACUCCUACGGGAGGCAGCAGUGGGGAAUAUUGCACAAUGGGCGCAAGCCUGAUGCAGCGACGCCGCGUGGGGGAUGACGGCCUUCGGGUUGUAAACUCCUUUCGCUAGGGACGAAGCGCAAGUGACGGUACCUGGAGAAGAAGCACCGGCUAACUACGUG